rnacentral:rRNA from 1 species
ACAUGGGGGCAACCCUGAUCUAGCCAUGCCGCGUGUGUGAUGAAGGCCUUAGGGUCGUAAAGCACUUUCGCCAGGGAUGAUAGUGACAGUACCUGGUAAAGAAACCCCGGCUAACUCCGUGCCAGCAGCCGCGGUAAUACGGAGGGGGUUAGCGUUGUUCGGAAUUACUGGGCGUAAAGCGCGCGUAGGCGGACUAUUAAGUGAGAGGUGAAAGUCCCAGGGCUCAACCCUGGAACUGCCUUUCAUACUGGUAGUCUUGAGUUCGAGAGAGGUGAGUGGAAUUCCGAGUGUAGAGGUGAAAUUC